rnacentral:tRNA from 1 species
AUUAUUUUGGCAGAUUAGUGUGAUAAAUUUAGAAUUUAAUAAAGUAUAGGAUUAUACAAAUAAUA